rnacentral:rRNA from 1 species
GAGUUUGAUCAUGGCUCAGGAUGAACGCUGGCGGCGUGCUUAACACAUGCAAGUCGAACGGGCGAAUUAUAUCGGAGGUCUUCGGGCCGAAGAGAUAAUAAGCUAGUGGCGGACGGGUGCGUAACGUGUGGGUAAUCUGCCUUUGUCAUAGGAAUAACUGCUUGAAAAAGUAGCUAAUACCAAAUAACAUAUCGUAUAGGCAUCUAUAAGAUAUCAAAGAGAAAUCGGACAAAGAUGAGCCCGCAUCUGAUUAGCUGGUUGGUAGGGUAAAAGCCUACCAAGGCGACGAUCAGUAGCCGGCCUGAGAGGGUGAACGGCCACAUUGGAACUGAGACACGGUCCAAACUCCUACGGGAGGCAGCAGUGGGGAAUAUUGCACAAUGGGGGGAACCCUGAUGCAGCAACGCCGCGUGAGUGAAGAAGGCUUUCGAGUCGUAAAACUCUGUUGUAAGGGAAGAUAAUGACGUACCUAAAGAGCC